CCUCCAGACUCCUACGGGAGGCAGCAGUGGGGGAUAUUGCACAAUGGGGGAAACCCUGAUGCAGCGACGCCGCGUGGGCGAAGAAGUAUUUCGGUAUGUAAAGCCCUAUCAGCAGGGAAGAAGAAAUGACGGUACCUGAGUAAGAAGCACCGGCUAAAUACGUGCCAGCAGCCGCGGUAAUACGUAUGGUGCAAGCGUUAUCCGGAUUUACUGGGUGUAAAGGGAGCGCAGGCGGCACGGCAAGCCUGAUGUGAAAGCCCGCGGCCCAACCGCGGGACUGCAUUGGGAACUACCGGGCUGGAGUGCCGGAGAGGUAGGCGGAAUUCCUAGUGUAGCGGUGAAAUGCGUAGAUAUUAGGAGGAACACCAGUGGCGAAGGCGGCCUGCUGGGCUUUAACUGACGCUGAGGCUCGAAAGCGUGGGGAGCAAACAGGAUUAGAUCCCCCAGUA
rnacentral:rRNA from 1 species